AUGUAGUCAUGUAAAUGUGGCCUAAAUUAAAAAUACAUUUAAGGAAAUGUAGGAAGCUCUAUGUCCAUGGAUAAUGAACUAAAGGCUCCAUUUCUAGGCUGCUGAAGUUGAGGCUGAAGGCUCUGGACUUAUGAGUAAUUUGAUCUAAUUGAUAAUCAUGGUGUGUGCAUACGAGUGUUAGGUGAUAUUAAAUUAUUACCAACUGAUGUACAAGAAUCAGUAGCAAGAGCUGUGACAAUGACUAAAAACAAUAACAAGGUAUAUCUUAAUGAGUGUUUCUCUUAUGCAUCAAGAUAUGAGAUUACUGAUACUAUACAGUCACUGGUUGAUGGAUCUCAUGAUGAUACUACCUUAAGGCCACUAUUAUU